GAUGAACGCUGGCGGCGUGCCUAAUACAUGCAAGUCGAGCGAAUGGAUUAAGAGCUUGCUCUUAUGAAGUUAGCGGCGGACGGGUGAGUAACACGUGGGUAACCUGCCCAUAAGACUGGGAUAACUCCGGGAAACCGGGGCUAAUACCGGAUAACAUUUUGAACCGCAUGGUUCGAAAUUGAAAGGCGGCUUCGGCUGUCACUUAUGGAUGGACCCGCGUCGCAUUAGCUAGUUGGUGAGGUAACGGCUCACCAAGGCAACGAUGCGUAGCCGACCUGAGAGGGUGAUCGGCCACACUGGGACUGAGACACGGCCCAGACUCCUACGGGAGGCAGCAGUAGGGAAUCUUCCGCAAUGGACGAAAGUCUGACGGAGCAACGCCGCGUGAGUGAUGAAGGCUUUCGGGACGUAAAACUCUGUUGUUAGGGAAGAACGAGUGCUAGUUGAAUAAGCUGACACCUUGACGGUACCUAACCAGAAAGCCACGGCUAACUACGUGCCAGCCGCCGCGUAA
rnacentral:rRNA from 1 species